rnacentral:tRNA from 1 species
GCCGUUUUCACUCAAUGGAAGAGCUGCUGAUUUGUAACCAGAGGACGCGGGUUCGAUUCCUGCAAGCGGCA